UAUGGCCACAUCAGGUUGAAACACCGGUUACUGUACGAUCACGGAAGUUAAGUAACGUCGAGCCUGGUCAAUACCUAGAUGGGUGACUGUUUGGGAAUACCAGGCGCUGUAAG